AGCUCGUUCUCCUUCUCAACGCAUUUCAAUUCGGACAGUUGGGUGUUUGCAGAAGUAGGAAUGGUGUGUCCAACCACAAUGACCUUCCAUCACCCAUUGCUGCAUUGGUAAUGUAUUUCUACACAACUUUACACUUAAUUGGUACAUUUGAAUUUGUUACGUCGCACAAAUGUGAAGUAGUUAACCUGCACAUGGCACAAUUAGGUGUUAUUUGAACAUGUUGGUUCGCUACCAGUGGUUGACUAUAAAACCUGUAUCUACUAAUCGUAAAUAUCAGGAUUGGUAAAUUCACUGGGUGUGGCCCUGAUCGAAGUCGUUCCUGUUCAUCCAUAACCGGCACGGUCAAACAGGAGCCAACAGCAACACUUUUACCGACGGUCGCUGAACAGUUCACCUGUAGCUGUCCCAGCAACAUUAAGGAAAAGGACAAUCACACCUUAACAGUUUAUAAUUGUUCCUCUUAUGUAGCCCUGUCUGACUGUCACAUGCUCCUGCAGGUUUGGCAUCACCAUUUAGGUCGACAAUGUCAGAAGGAUGAGUCGCCUCAAUUUAGUGUGAUGCCCUGCAGUCAAUGCAUCCCUUGAAAUGGGCUGAAUGAAAGAGUAUAACAUAAGAUGGUGCUCUUCCUCCAAAAAGAUGGCCCCUAUCACCAGUAGUGAGCCAACUGUUAUGAUUUGAAGUGUCUUGGCAUGGGUACGAAGGACCAGUGCUCUCAGAGGUGCACUGGAUUCACAACUACAUGCUUAAUUAAUGGAGAGACUAUGACUGCCCUGUUUAGCUGUCUGUGGUGGUCACUCGACUAUCCAACAAACACUAACCACUGAAGUUGGCUUGCAGUCUCAAUGUGUCCCUCUCAUUAAAGGUGCUGGUCACUUCUGAUUACCCAUGGGACUGGUUGCAUGAGCCCAGUGCCCAUCUGCUCCCUGAUGGAGUUUUGGUCCUGGUGUGGAUGAUGCAAGUGAAGAUGCACCCAUAAUCGCCCAGAAGUUAAUGUCUUGAGGAAAUUGAGUUUGUUUGUGGAUCUGUAAUUAUUCUGUGGUUAAGCCAAUAAAAGUUUGCUGCUUUAUCAA